rnacentral:piRNA from 1 species
GGAGAGUAUUGUGUCAUUCAGUGCUUCU